rnacentral:rRNA from 1 species
AAACCUGAGAAACCCAAAAGAUCGAAUGGGGAGAUUCAUCGUCAGCGACUCCGGCAAUUGUGCGGUUUCGCGAUGUCGCGAGACUUCGGUCUCACUGACACGCGUCCGCAUCGUUUUAGUGCCGGGUGUCGUCGGCGUGCACUUCUCCUCUAGUAGGACGUCGCGACCCGUUGGGUGUCGGUCUACGGCCCGGGUGGGCGCCUGUUCCGUCGUUUCGGCGUUACGGAACAGACCCCCGGAUGCCCGACCGGCUGCUCGGCGGUACUCGCACGGUAUCGGGUCGCAAAAUUUGAACUGCGUCUGGCCCGCCGCAAGCGAGAUGAGUGAUACUGGGAUGCACGGACCUAGCGCCGUCACCGAGCCUCAUCAGCUGUUGGUCGGCGGUGUCCUUGGACAGGCCCAUUGAUACCGGUCGGCGACGCUACUGCUUUGGGUACUUUCAGGACCCGUCUUGAAACACGGACCAAGGAGUCUAACAUGUGCGCGAGUCAUUGGGAACUCUUAAGCCUAAAGGCGCAAUGAAAGUGAAGGUCGGCCUCGCGCCGACCGAGGGAGGAUGGACCGUGUCACGAUGCGGUCCCGCACUCCCGGGGCGUCUCGUUCUCAU